GAUGGAAAGCCUUGGAUCUCUUCUAUUAAACAAUGGUGUCUUGUUGGACCCUAGAAUUCUAACUUCUCAGUGGAAUAGCUUCCCCCAGAUGUUUCUCAUGGCAUUUCUCUCAGAGAUCCAGCAUGACUUGCAGUUACCUACUGAGAGGCAACAGUGAAGACUAAGAAAAGAAACAGGGCAGAGUAUUGCAGAGCUGUAAACAGUACAAUCCUGGAGUGGCUGCAUUCCUUUUUUCCAUUCCAAGUUCCAAAAACUUUGCAUUGGAAGAAGAUAGUAAUUUAUAUGAGUAUUCUCCAGCAUUGACAUCAUACGUUUUUUCACUGAUACAAUUUGCCAUAAGAAAGGAACGCCUAAAAAGGGCCUUGGCAAUGGACAAUACUGCUUCUGCCAAAGGUUUUUUCUGUCACAGAAUCAUAUUAAAAGUGACAGUGAGGGAUGAUUAUUUAAGAUCAACAUGACUCUUUUAGAAUAUUUGUAUACCUUCAUAUUUGCACAGAUAAAGGAGGUGAGGGAUAAUUUCCAAUGGAUAAAAGAAACUGAAGUUUUUGAUGAAUACAUUUAUUCUGCACUUUCCAAGCCUCUUAUGUGGACCAGAAUUUAUUGCAGACAAAUUAAACAUUAUAUUAAAUACCUUAAAAUGCUGAAUAUUAUGUACAACUGUUUAUGUAUACUCUGGGGUUUUAUACAAUAAUAUAUAUAUUAGGACAGUUGCAAAUUGUUUGAAUUUAUAAACUGAACUGGAAAAGAGCCAAAGCAAAUAUAUUAAUAGUAUGAUAGUGGUAUGCAAGUGGUAGAAUUCUCGGGAACAAUCAGUAAUCAGCCUAAGUAUGGAAGUUUAUCUUUGACACUGAAGCUAGAAUAAUAUAUUUAAUUUCUUUGCCUCUGUUGUGUCUGCAUUGAAAAGCACAGUGUUUCUUUUCACAUAAUGAAUCGUCUUCAUUAUGUUGAAGAUGAGAGCUGAAUUAAUUGUGGCUUACUAUAAGUACUUUGCAUCUUUCUUUACAAAUGAAAUGGAUCAGAUCCACCUAAACCUGGACUCAAGUGUAAAGGUUGGUCAUAGGGAUGUAGCUUGUCAAUUAUUUGCCAUUUUCAUUUUUUUUAACCUUGUAAAUUUCAAUAAUGUGAAAAGUGAACACGUAUUGCUUAUUCAAUUAUAGCUUCUCCUGACUGAUUAAAUCACUGUCUUCAAUCCUUAAGGGAUCAAAGAAUAAGUGAUACAGUGCUAUUACACAGAUAAAUACAAUUGGACUGUAGUUCUUAAUUCGUAUGACAAAGGAUAAAAAUAUGCUGACUAUUAAAAUAUAUACUUCACAAUUACAUGAAGAUAUAUAAAUAUCUACAAUGAUAA